rnacentral:rRNA from 1 species
UGUCUACUAAUUAUAGACCAGUAUGAAAGGCAAAAUGAGGGUCUAGCUGUCUCUUAUAAUUAAUCAAUUAAACUGAUCUCCCAGUAAAAAAGCUGGGAUUACCACAUAAGACCAGAAGACCCUGUGAAGCUUAAACUCAACUAUUAAACCCCAUAAUAGCCACUUUCGGUUGGGGCGACCUUGGAAAAAAAAAGAACUUCCAAACCAGUGACAUCCAUCACACCAUCAAGGCCUACAAGCCAAUAUAGACCCAGCACUGCUGAUAAUCGAACCAAGUUACUCCAGGGAUAACAGCGCAAUCCUCUUCAAGAGCCCAUAUCAAAAAGAGGGUUUACGACCUCGAUGUUGGAUCAGGACAUCCUGAUGGUGCA